rnacentral:rRNA from 1 species
GACAGAGGGUGCAAACGUUGUUCGGAAUUACUGGGCGUAAAGCGCGUGUAGGCUGCUCAGAAAGUCGGAUGUGAAAGCCCUGGGCUUAACCUAGGAAGUGCAUUCGAAACUUCUGAGCUUGAGUUCUGGAGAGGAAGGCGGAAUUCUCGGUGUAGAGGUGAAAUUCGUAGAUAUCGAGAGGAACACCGGUGGCGAAGGCGGCCUUCUGGACAGUGACUGACGCUGAGACGCGAAAGCGUGGGGAGCGAACAGG